CUGCUACUCCCUCCGAUCCAUAUUACUUGUGGCUGAAAUGGAUGUAUAUAGACAUAUUUCAGUGUUAGAUACAUCCAUUUGAGCGACAAGUAAUAUGGAUAGGAGGGAGUACUAU
rfam:Triticum aestivum genome assembly, contig: Triticum_aestivum_CS42_TGACv1_scaffold_375161_5AL